rnacentral:rRNA from 1 species
AUUGAACGCUGGCGGUAUGCUUAACACAUGCAAGUCGAACGAGUGGCAGACGGGUGAGUAAUGCAUAGGAAUCUACCUUUUAGUCUAGGAUAACUACCCUAAAGGGUAGCUAAUACUGGAUGCUAAGAUAUGAGCCUAUGUGGGAUUAUCUAGUUGGUGGGGUAAUGGCUCACCAAAGCGACGAGCUCUAGCUGGUUUGCGACGAUGAUAAGCAACACUGGGACUGAGACACGGCCCAGAUUCCUACGGGUGGCAGCAGUGGGGAAUCUUGGACAAUGGGCGAAAGCCUGAUCCAGUAAUACCGCGUGUGUGAAGAAGGCCCUAGGGUUGUAAAGCACUUUUGUUAGGGAGAUGUUACCUAAAGAAUAAGCACCGGCUAACUCCGUGCCAGCCGCCGCGGUAAUAC